AACGAACGCUGGCGGCAUGCCUAACACAUGCAAGUCGAACGAGACCUUCGGGUCUAGUGGCGCACGGGUGCGUAACGCGUGGGAACCUGCCCUUAGGUUCGGAAUAACUCCCCGAAAGGGGUGCUAAUACCGGAUAAUGUCUUCGGACCAAAGAUUUAUCACCUUUGGAUGGGCCCGCGUUGGAUUAGCUAGUUGGUAGGGUAAAAGCCUACCAAGGCGACGAUCCAUAGCUGGUCUGAGAGGAUGAUCAGCCACACUGGGACUGAGACACGGCCCAGACUCCUACGGGAGGCAGCAGUGGGGAAUAUUGGACAAUGGGCGAAAGCCUGAUCCAGCAAUGCCGCGUGAGUGAUGAAGGCCUUAGGGUUGUAAAGCUCUUUUACCCGGGAUGAUAAUGACAGUACCGGGAGAAUAAGCGCCGGCUAACUCCGUG
rnacentral:rRNA from 1 species